ACAAUGAGAAUAUCGAUGUCUUUGGGCUUGAGCCCAGUCUUCUCGAACAGAGAGUCCAUGGCGGAGAAGAUGACGAGCUCCGCCUCGCCCCUAGCGGCCUCCAUGGUGGGGUUGGGCGGAAUAUAGUGAAUCGCCGGAGGGAGGCAGGUCUCCUCCCCGAGGCCCGAGCGCUCGAGGAUCCUCAUCUGGAACUCGACGCUCUUGGGGUUGUUGCUGAGGUUGAGGCGGGAGUGCUCCAUGAAGGUGGAGAAGGGGACGCGGCAGGUGACUGGAGGCUUGAAACAGGCGUAGUCGACGAGGUAGAUGGAGCGGGGUUUGGACAUAAAGUAGACGGUGGCGAUGAAGAUGAUGAGGAAUGAGGAGCAGAGGAUUUGGACGAGAUCGAAGUGAAGUGAGUCCCAGAGCUUGAGAAGCUCGUCGGGGCCGAGGCGGAUGACCUCCAGUAGGAUUCCGGCCAUGAUGAGGAUGAGAGUGAGGGUAAGAAUGUGGUUGACGAGGUACUGGUAGCCGAGCUUGACAUACUUGAGCUUGACGG
rnacentral:lncRNA from 1 species